CGAUGACAAGUUUUGUCGAGAAUUUUCGUGACAGCAUGUCCGAUGCUUUAUUCCUCGUCUCUCAUUUAUAACCGCUGCAUCGAUCUUCCUUAUCGGUCUGACAGCAUUCGUAUCCUUUGUUUGCUUCCUUUCAUUUUUUUUCCCCCUUCCCUUCUCCGAUUUCGCUUGUACAUCGUGCCCCCCUUCCCCUCCCCCCGUCUUUCCGUCAGUCUGUACCUAAAGUCUAACACGAAAAUGUAAUAACAGCGCGACGCUGUCUGAAAGUGGCUAUGGAGACCAGGCUUUAAUUAGAAAAAAGUGAUCGUUCAUUCUUUCGCCAUUAUUCCCAUUGUCUCCUGCGUUCACCCGACCCGACCAUCCGUCGGAGAUAAUUGAAGGCGAUAUAGAACGCUCUCUCCUCCGGCAUUUUUCAAUUUGUCAUCAGGCUAUACGGGCAGAAAUGAACCGUCCUGCGCUCGAAGAUGUCGCCACGUGUGUGAUGUCAUCCGAUCCCCUCCAUGUUCCGUUGCCGUGUCCCGAAUUGCGAACGCGCGCGAGUUACAGAGACGAAUUAAUUUCUUGUUACUGGAAAGAAGAGUGAAUCGUAUACUUUUCGAAUUAAUUUCUACAACUAUGAUUCCUGCAAUCCCUCGAAAGCUCGCCGUUUGAACGAAUAUAUCCGCCACUACGAACCACUCUCUUAUCCCACUGAAGAGGUCCACCGAGGUCACUUGAGGGCCAAGAGGUCGGUUACCCGCGACAAUUCCGUGACUCUGAAGUUUCGCUCGCACGGAAGGGACUUCCAUAUUCGGUUGAAGCGAGAUCUGGCCACCUUUAGCAAUAAUUUAAUUAUCGAAGGGCCGUCCGGUCAAACGGAAGACCUCGAUACGUCCCAUAUUUAUCAGGGCCACUUAGUCGGCGAGCCCGGCAGUCACGUGUUCGGAAGUAUCAGCGACGGUGUUUUCCACGGGAAAAUCAUAUCGCCCCGUGGUGGCGCGUGGUACGUGGAAAAGGCGUACUAUUACUUCCCGCCACACGAGAUAAAUGACACGUUGCAUUCUGUCAUCUAUCAUGAAAAUAACGUGGACGAUCCGUACGCCCAUCUUCGAAAAGGUAAAUCGAAUCGUCUCGUUCUUUUCUUUUUCUUUUCUUUCUCCCUCUUCGUGUCCAAUU